GGAGAUGCCCGUCCCACCCUGACGGUGCUGCCCCCCUCCAGUGAGGAGCUGCAGCAGGGGAAGGCCACGCUCAUGUGCCUGGCCAACAAGGGCUUCCCCUCAGACUGGAGUCUGGCCUGGAAGGUGGACGGCAGCAGCAGCAGCAGCAGCAGCAGCUGGGAGGAGAGCAGGAGCCCCGGGGUGCUGGAGAAGGACGGCCACUACAGCUGGAGCAGCACCCUGAGGCUCACUGCAGACCAGUGGAGGAAGGUGGGCUCUGUGACCUGUGAGGCCACCCAGGGCUCCCAGGCUCUGCUCUCAGAGACACUGAGGAGAGACCAGUGUUCCCAGUCCUGACCUGACUCACUGGGACUCUGCUACUGGUUUCACUCUGAUACUGCUCUCAGUCUGCACUCUCUCUUGUUCUUUUAUUCUCAUGACAUGUUUCAACAUUAACUUCCUCUUGCUUGUGUUGGUUGUUUCAACAUUUUAAAACAAUAAAGAUUUAAUCAUGUGUAUUUCAAAAGUU